rnacentral:misc_RNA from 1 species
GACGAAGGUGGCGAGCGUUACUCGGAAUUACUAGGCGUAAAGCGUGGGUAGGCGGUUUGGAAAGUCUGCUGUGAAAGCUCCCGGCUUAACCGGGAGAGGUCAGUGGAAACUUCCAGACUUGAAUCGAGGAGGGGUGACUGGAAUUCCAGGUGUAGCGGUGAAAUGCGUAGAUAUCUGGAGGAACACCGAUGGCGAAAGCAGGUCACUGGACUCGUAUUGACGCUGAUCCACGAAAGCUGGGGGAUCAAACAGG